AGUUGAUUUGCAAGGCUGUCGUAC
rnacentral:siRNA from 1 species